rnacentral:misc_RNA from 1 species
UUCAACAUGUCCCCACAUUCCCUCUCCCGCCGGCCGGAAGCUCCGGUACCGGUAAUCUUCUAUUUUUUCGGAGCUGUCUUAUUCUUUUUCUUCACUUUGCCUGUAAAUGGGUGGCGUCCAUGGCCCAACCAGAAGCCAAACGCCACUGAAUUGAUCUACGGCGGGUCCAAAAAGUAUGAGGGGUCAUCGGAGUUUGUCCAUUUGAAAUAUCACAUGGGCCCUGUUCUCACUGCAAAUAUUACCGUUUAUCCCAUUUGGUACGGCCGGUGGGGCAACUCCCAAAAGCGGAUUAUCCGCGAUUUCAUCAGCUCUUUCUCCGCCGUCGAAUCUAAACACCCUUCCGUCGCUGGUUGGUGGAAAACCGUUCAGCUCUACACCGAUCAAACCGGAGCCAACAUUUCCCGCACUCUCCAUCUCGGAGAAGAAAAAAACGACCGAUUUUACUCCCACGGUAAAUCCCUUACCCGACUGUCCGUACAAUCGGUGAUAAAAUCCGCCGUCACCGCCCGUACCCGUCCAUUACCAUUAAACCCCAAAACCGGCGUCUACUUAUUACUCACUUCCGAUGAUGUAUACGUUCAGGAUUUCUGCCAAAACGUUUGCGGAUUCCAUUACUUCACUUUCCCUUCCAUCGUCGGUUACACUUUACCGUACGCUUGGGUGGGUAACUCGGCUAAACUCUGUCCGGGUACAUGCGCUUACCCAUUUUCCGUACCCAGUUACAUGCCGGGUUUCAAAGCUGUAAAAUCCCCGAACAACGACGUGGGUGUUGACGGAAUGAUAAGCGUGAUUGCUCAUGAAAUUGCAGAGGUAUCAACGAACCCAUUAGUUAACGCUUGGUACGCAGGUCAGGACCCUAGUUUUCCGGUAGAGAUUGCGGAUCUUUGUGAAGGGAUUUACGGUACCGGCGGCGGUGGGUCGUAUACAGGGCAAAUGUUGAACGGAGAAGAUGGUGCUACAUAUAAUAUGAAUGGGGUGCGAAGGAGAUUUUUGGUUCAGUGGGUGUGGAAUCAUAUUUUGAAUUAUUGCAGUGGACCUAAUGCACUUGAUCAGUAAAUGUUUUGUUUACAAAAUUCAAGCAUUUUGGUUCUUAUUUAUGUUUAAAUUUUGGGUUAUUGAUGCAUAUUAAUUAAGCUCUGUUUUUUUUUACUAUAAGAUAUGUGUAGUGUAAUAAAAAUAGUUAUAAUUUUGUACACAGAGUUGGUUCUGUUUGUCAAAA